rnacentral:rRNA from 1 species
GGUGAACGCUGGCGGUAGGCCUAACACAUGCAAGUCGAACGGCAGCACAGUAAGAGCUUGCUCUUACGGGUGGCGAGUGGCGGACGGGUGAGGAAUACAUCGGAAUCUACUUUUUCGUGGGGGAUAACGUAGGGAAACUUACGCUAAUACCGCAUACGACCUACGGGUGAAAGCAGGGGAUCUUCGGACCUUGCGCGAUUGAAUGAGCCGAUGUCGGAUUAGCUAGUUGGCGGGGUAAAGGCCCACCAAGGCGACGAUCCGUAGCUGGUCUGAGAGGAUGAUCAGCCACACUGGAACUGAGACACGGUCCAGACUCCUACGGGAGGCAGCAGUGGGGAAUAUUGGACAAUGGGCGCAAGCCUGAUCCAGCCAUACCGCGUGGGUGAAGAAGGCCUUCGGGUUGUAAAGCCCUUUUGUUGGGAAAGAAAAGCAGCAGGUUAAUACCCCGCUGUUCUGACGGUACCCAAAGAAUAAGCACCGGCUAACCUCGUG